CCUACGGGGGGCAGCAGUCGAGAAUCAUUCACAAUGGGGGAAACCCUGAUGGUGCGACGCCGCGUGGGGGAAUGAAGGUCUUCGGAUUGUAAACCCCUGUCAUGUGGGAGCAAAUUAAAAAGAUAGUACCACAAGAGGAAGAGACGGCUAACUCUGUGCCAGCAGCCGCGGUAAUACAGAGGUCUCAAGUGUUGUUCGGAAUCACUGGGCGUAAGGCGUGCGUAGGCUGUUUCGUAAGUCGUGUGUGAAAGGCGCGGGCUCAACCCGCGGACGGCACAUGAUACUGCGAGACUAGAGUAAUGGAGGGGGAACCGGAAUUCUCGGUGUAGCAGUGAAAUGCGUAGAUAUCGAGAGGAACACUCGUGGCGAAGGCGGGUUCCUGGACAUUAACUGACGCUGAGGCACGAAGGCCAGGGGAGCGAAAGGGAUUAGAUACCCGAGUAGUC
rnacentral:rRNA from 1 species